AGUGAACGCUGGCGGUAGGCCUAACACAUGCAAGUCGAGCGGCAGCACAGUAAGAGCUUGCUCUUACGGGUGGCGAGUGGCGGACGGGUGAGGAAUACAUCGGAAUCUACUUUUUCGUGGGGGAUAACGUAGGGAAACUUACGCUAAUACCGCAUACGACCUACGGGUGAAAGCAGGGGAUCUUCGGACCUUGCGCGAUUGAAUGAGCCGAUGUCGGAUUAGCUAGUUGGCGGGGUAAAGGCCCACCAAGGCGACGAUCCGUAGCUGGUCUGAGAGGAUGAUCAGCCACACUGGAACUGAGACACGGUCCAGACUCCUACGGGAGGCAGCAGUGGGGAAUAUUGGACAAUGGGCGCAAGCCUGAUCCAGCCAUACCGCGUGGGUGAAGAAGGCCUUCGGGUUGUAAAGCCCUUUUGUUGGGAAAGAAAAGCAGCAGGUUAAUACCCCGCUGUUCUGACGGUACCCAAAGAAUAAGCGCCGGCUAACUUCGUG
rnacentral:rRNA from 1 species